rnacentral:rRNA from 1 species
GUCGAGCGGAACCUGGGGAGCUUGCUCCCCAAGUUUAGCGGCGGACGGGUGAGUAACACGUGGGCAACCUGCCCUGCAGAUCGGGAUAACUCCGGGAAACCGGUGCUAAUACCGAAUAGUUUUUGGCCCCGCCUGGGGCCGGACGGAAAGACGGUCUCGGCUGUCACUGCAGGAUGGGCCCGCGGCGCAUUAGCUAGUUGGUGGGGUAACGGCCCACCAAGGCGACGAUGCGUAGCCGACCUGAGAGGGUGAUCGGCCACACUGGGACUGAGACACGGCCCAGACUCCUACGGGAGGCAGCAGUAGGGAAUCUUCCGCAAUGGACGAAAGUCUGACGGAGCAAUGCCGCGUGAGUGACGAAGGUUUUCGGAUCGUAAAACUCUGUUGUGAGGGAAGAACAAGUACCAAUUAACUACUGGUACCUUGACGGUACCUCACCAGAAAGCCACGGCUAACUACGUGCCAGCAGCCGCGGUAAUACGUAGGUGGCAAGCGUUGUCCGGAAUUAUUGGGCGUAAAGCGCGCGCAGGCGGUCCCUUAAGUCUGAUGUGAAAGCCCACGGCUCAACCGUGGAGGGUCAUUGGAAACUGGGGGACUUGAGUGCAGAAGAGGAAAGUGGAAUUCCACGUGUAGCGGUGAAAUGCGUAGAGAUGUGGAGGAACACCAGUGGCGAAGG